UCCAAUACCGAAGAAUCAACGAGAUUUACGAG
rnacentral:piRNA from 1 species